GUGGGGAAUUUUGGACAAUGGGCGCAAGCCUGAUCCAGCAAUGCCGCGUGCAGGAAGAAGGCCUUCGGGAUGUAAACUGCUUUUGUACGGAACGAAACGGUCCGGGUUAAUACCCUGGGCUAAUGACGGUACCGUAAGAAUAAGCACCGGCUAACUACGUGCCAGCAGCCGCGGUAAUACGUAGGGUGCAAGCGUUAAUCGGAAUUACUGGGCGUAAAGCGUGCGCAGGCGGUUUUGUAAGACAGGCGUGAAAUCCCCGGGCUCAACCUGGGAAUUGCGCUUGUGACUGCAAGGCUGGAGUGCGGCAGAGGGGGAUGGAAUUCCGCGUGUAGCAGUGAAAUGCGUAGAUAUGCGGAGGAACACCGAUGGCGAAGGCAAUCCCCUGGGCCUGCACUGACGCUCAUGCACGAAAGCGUGGGGAGCAAACAGGAUUAGAUACCCGGGUAGUCC
rnacentral:rRNA from 1 species